UACGAAGGGGGCUAGCGUUGUUCGGAAUUACUGGGCGUAAAGGGCGCGUAGGCGGUGUGUCAAGUCAGGCGUGAAAGCCCCGGGCUCAACCUGGGAACCGCGCUUGAGACUGGCACGCUAGAGUUCGGGAGAGGAUGGUGGAAUUCCCAGUGUAGAGGUGAAAUUCGUAGAUAUUGGGAAGAACACCGGUGGCGAAGGCGGCUCACUGGCUCAUUACUGACGCUCAGGCGCGAUAGCGUGGGGAUCAAACAGG
rnacentral:rRNA from 1 species